GCGCCCCCCGUGGCGCUAGUCCUGGUCCGCUCCGGCGGUCCUCGACAACCCUUUGUAAUCCACGUCAUGCCUAUUCGUAAACCGAGAGAUAAUACAACCAGUAGCGUUGGAUCCCUUGGCACGUCGUUCGAUGAAGACCGUUGCAAAAUGCGAUAAGUGGUGUGAUAUGCAAGUCCAAAACUUAUACGUGAACCAUCGAAUUGUUGAACGCACUGCAUCGAGCCUUACCCAGGAACGAUACGCCCCAUUGAGCGUCAUUAUGUCUUCGCGACUUGUCGUUUUCUAACGAAGCGACCUGUCCGGGUUCGGGAUUCACGGCCUUCCGGUCGCGCUUCCUCAGAUGCAUUGGCUGUGCCGGUGCGAGCGGUGACCUUGUCAUGAAUGUCGAGGUGUGCCAGCGAGCUCCGUACGCAAGAUCCGUCGCAUCGCCGGCGGAUCAGAACGCGUCUUCGGAUGCAAUUUCUCCACAUGACCUCACGGGGGUGGGACGACCCGCUAGA
rnacentral:rRNA from 1 species